UACACGCUGUGACUAGCAUAUCAAUAAGCGGAGGAAAAGAAACUAACAAGGAUUCCCCUAGUAACGGCGAGUGAAGCGGGAAGAGCUCAAGUUUGAAAUCUUAAAGGGUUUCCCUUUACGAAUUGUAGUUUAAAGAAGUGUUUUCUGUUGAGGUUUUGGUAAAAGUUCUUUGGAAUAGGACAUCAUAGAGGGUGAGAAUCCCGUAUUUGACCUUUACUUUCAACUUUGUGAUACACUUUCAAAGAGUCGGAUUGUUUGGGAAUGCAGUCCAAAAUGGGUGGUAAAUUUCAUCUAAAGCUAAAUAUUGGCGAGAGACCGAUUAGCGAACAAGUACCGUGAGGGAAAGAUGAAAAGAACUUUGAAAAGAGAGUUAAACAGUACGUGAAAUUGUCAAAAGGGAAGCGUUUGACACCAGUGUUGUUUUUCUGAAAAUCAAUUAAAGAACUGUUUAUGCUAAGUUGUUUAGACUUUAUCAGCUAACUGUUUAGUUUUGAGCUUUUCUUUAAUGCACUUUUCAGUUAACAAGUCAACAUCAAUUUCUUUUGCUGUAAAAAAGCUUGAGGAAGGUGGCUUGAGAUUCGUCUUAAGUGUUUAUAGCCUCUUGCCUAUGCAGUCGGAGAGAUUGAGGUCUGCAGCGUAGAUCCUUCGGGGCUAAAUGCAUUUGUGCUAAGUUAUAGCAUUUCAUAGACAACUUGUUGACUAUGAUUUGUCUUGUAGCUUACUCGCUUAUGUUAUUUUACCUACGCUUAGGAUGUUGACAGCAGUAUAGACUGU
rnacentral:rRNA from 1 species